UACGUAGGGGGCAAGCGUUGUUCGGAAUUACUGGGCGUAAAGGGAGCGUAGGCGGGAGAAUAAGUUAGGAGUUUAAUUCAUGGGCUCAACCCAUGACCUGCUCUUAAUACUGUUUUUCUUGAGUACGGGAGAGGGAGAUGGAAUUCCAGGUGUAGCGGUGGAAUGCGUAGAUAUCUGGAAGAACACCAGUUGCGAAGGCGGUCUCCUGGUCCGAUACUGACGCUGAGGCUCGAAAGCUAGGGGAGCAAACAGG
rnacentral:rRNA from 1 species